UAAUUAUGACUUCUCCGAGCCUUUUUGCCUAAAGGAAACCAUGGUAAAGGGCCUGGGCCACCUUGGAAACGGGAUGGCCUUCCGUAUUUUGAAAAGGGGUUGUUAUCAUGCGGGC
rnacentral:ncRNA from 1 species